GGACUAUCCAAGUUGGCAAAACCAACCUCACACUGAAAGACAGAAUAACUACUGCAGUGAUCUAUCAAUUGUUGUCCGUCCUGCAGACAAAGGGGGAGCUAUCGUCAUCAUGCAGUAUAAGGACUAUAAAUCAGAAAUCUUGAAGCAACUCACAGAUCCCAAGGUGUAUCGACAUCUGGAUAAAGAUCCUGUGCACAAUUUCAGUAACAUCAUUA